rnacentral:siRNA from 1 species
GUGUGCGUGACAUAUGAGAUUGGA